GACGUAGGGGCCGAGCGUUGUCCGGAGUUACUGGGCGUAAAGAGCGCGCAGGCGGUCGGAUAAGUCGAAUGUGAAAGCCCCCGGCUCAACUGGGGAGGGUCAUUCGAUACUGUUCGACUCGAAGGCAGGAGAGGGAAGUGGAAUUCCCGGUGUAGUGGUGAAAUGCGUAGAUAUCGGGAGGAACACCAGUGGCGAAGGCGACUUCCUGGCCUGUUCUUGACGCUGAGGCGCGAAAGCUAGGGGAGCAAACGGG
rnacentral:rRNA from 1 species